UACGGAGGGUGCAAGCGUUACCCGGAAUCACUGGGCGUAAAGGGCGUGUAGGCGGAUCACUCAGUCUGGUUUUAAAGACCGGGGCUCUAAACCCCGGGCAUGGGACUGGACACCUGUGGUGAUCUUGACCUCUGGAGAGGUAGCUGGAAUUCCUGGUGUAGCGGUGGAAUGCGUAGAUACCGAGGAGGAACACCAGUGGCGAAGGCGGCUCACUGGUCCGGUACUGACGCUGAGGUGCGGAAAGCGUGGGGAGCAAACGGGAUUAAGAAACCCCAGGUAC
rnacentral:rRNA from 1 species